rnacentral:tRNA from 1 species
AAGUCCUGAGGUGAAAUAGUCAUAUUGAAUUGCAAAUUCAAAGAAGCAGCUUCAACUCUGCCGGGGCUU